CUGUACGAAGAUGAGUAAGAAACAAAUAUCGAAAGGAGGCAGGAGACAGUGAAAUGUCAUCCAUCCAUAUUUUUUUGAACGAUGCUGACACAAAUACACAUACUGAAAUUUAUGAUCUCUGGUUUGACGUGAUAUGAUUAUUGAUUACGAAUGUAGAGACCAUGUUUAAGAGAGUUUGUCCGUUGCCCACUUGGGCCUUUGUCACUUUAUUUCAGAUUCAUGCAACAAACAAUGACUUAAUUCAGGCAGAAAGAAACAGCAGCGAAUACAAUUUAAAGACAACAGUAGAUAAAAGUAUUAAUAAUAAGUCAUGAAAUGUAUAAUUAUAUACGAGAAAAUGGUUCCACCUGCGUUACAUAUUUUAGCUAAGAGACUUUAAAUCUUGUUAAGAUAUGUUAUACUACAAAUUACAAAAAAAAAAAAAUGAAACGAAUGUUUGUCUAACCAU
rnacentral:lncRNA from 1 species